AACGAACGCUGGCGGCAUGCCUAACACAUGCAAGUCGAACGAGACCUUCGGGUCUAGUGGCGCACGGGUGCGUAACGCGUGGGAACCUGCCCUUAGGUUCGGAAUAACUCCCCGAAAGGGGUGCUAAUACCGGAUAAUGUCUUCGGACCAAAGAUUUAUCGCCUUUGGAUGGGCCCGAGUUGGAUUAGCUAGUUGGUAGGGUAAAAGCCUACCAAGGCGACGAUCCAUAGCUGGUUUGAGAGGAUGAUCAGCCACACUGGGACUGAGACACGGCCCAGACUCCUACGGGAGGCAGCAGUGGGGAAUAUUGGACAAUGGGCGAAAGCCUGAUGCAGCAAUGCCGCGUGAGUGAUGAAGGCCUUAGGGUUGUAAAGCUCUUUUACCCGGGAUGAUAAUGACAGUACCGGGAGAAUAAGCUCCGGCUAACUCCGUG
rnacentral:rRNA from 1 species